AUGGAGACGGUGGUGG
rnacentral:sRNA from 1 species